AAACCGCUUAGGGGUUAAGCCCGAUGAACCUGAAUAUCUGAAUUGAGAAAUUCAAUACUAUUUCAGUAAUUUAUCUAAACAAUAAAUGAACGAUGGUAUGCACUUUUCUCAUAGUAAGACAUUGCGAUCCAUUAGUASUAUAUCUUUUAUGGAUGGUUUAUCAAACGGCCCGUUUGGUCAGUUUAUUCUAUCUGUGGCACUAGCUGUCAUAUGAAUAAUGCCGAUGCGGUGACCUGGUAAACAGCUGAUGGAGCUUAAAAAUCAUGCAGCCAUGCAUUAUGUAUCACGGUUUGAGUAUUUUUAAUAUUCGAAUGCAGUGAUCGCAUGUAUUUGAUUAGCAAUGCGAUAGAUUUGGGAUACCUUCGGGACCCGUCUUGUAACACGGACCAAGAAGUCUAACAUGUGUGUAAGUCAUUGGGUAUUUUGUUGAAACCUAAAGGCGCAAUUAAAAUAACUAUAUUAUUAUGGGAUUACAAGUGAAUUAAUAUUUCACUUCUCCAUCCCGGGGCGUUCUAUACGAACAUGGUUUAAGCAAUUAGAUCCUCUGUUCAAGAGCGUACCUUGAACAUACAUGCUGU
rnacentral:rRNA from 1 species